UUGACCCUGGCAACAAGCAAGCCCGUGAAGGAAUGGAGCGUGUGGAAAAGAACACAGAAGUGGGACUGGAGAGUGCUUACGACCUGGAAGUAGAGGACAUGGAUGGGACAGACAAUGAUAUGGACCUUGAUGGCAGUGAUGUUGAGAGUGCCUGGUCUGAUGUCAGUGGAUACAGCUAGCAUAGGAGAGGAGAACCUGACAGGAAUGGGGAGGACUUCCCUACAUCCUCAGAUAGCUUAUCCCACUUAAAUACAUUUUGAUAUUUUGUAUAUAAAUAUAUGAGAAUGCUGAGUGAAGGAGGAAUAUGUAUGUAAAGAACAAAAAGAACCAGUGUACACCUUGAUAUAUGAAUAAUCGGGUACAUCUUGGUUCUGAUGUAUGACAUAUGAAAAAUAGACUUCAUGUCCACUGCCAAUUUUUCAGUCAUUUUAAGUUUUCUGCAGAACUGAUUCAGCCCAGUUGUAAAAAUAAAAAAUACCUGAUGUUUUACAGUAAUGUUUAAGAAAUAAAAAAGUUAUCUUUUUA